GAUGAGCGCUGGCGGCGUGCCUAAUACAUGCAAGUCGAGCGAACGGACGAGACGCUUGCUUCUCUGAUGUUAGCGGCGGACGGGUGAGUAACACGUGGAUAACCUACCUAUAAGACUGGGAUAACUUCGGGAAACCGGAGCUAAUACCGGAUAAUAUUUUGAACCGCAUGGUUCAAAAGUGAAAGAGGGUCUUGCUGUAACUUAUAGAUGGAUCCGCGCUGCAUUAGCUAGUUGGUAAGGUAACGGCUUACCAAGGCAACGAUGCAUAGCCGACCUGAGAGGGUGAUCGGCCACACUGGAACUGAGACACGGUCCAGACUCCUACGGGAGGCAGCAGUAGGGAAUCUUCCGCAAUGGGCGAAAGCCUGACGGAGCAACGCCGCGUGAGUGAUGAAGGUCUUCGGAUCGUAAAACUCUGUUAUUAGGGAAGAACAUAUGUGUAAGUAACUGUGCACAUCUUGACGGUACCUAAUCAGAAAGCCACGGCUAACUACGUG
rnacentral:rRNA from 1 species